CCUACGGGGGGCUGCAGUAAGGAAUAUUGGUCAAUGGGCGCAAGCCUGAACCAGCCAUGCCGCGUGAAGGAUGACGGCCCUAUGGGUUGUAAACUUCUUUUGUACGGGAAAAAACCACCGGUCGUGUAUCGGUGCUGAUGGUACCGUAAGAAUAAGCAUCGGCUAACUCCGUGCCAGCAGCCGCGGUAAUACGGAGGAUGCAAGCGUUAUCCGGAUUCAUUGGGUUUAAAGGGAACGCUAGCGGAAUGUUGAAAGCCUACAGCUCAACUGUAGAACUGCCAUUGAUACUGACAUUCUUGAGUAUUGUUGAGGUAGGCGGAAUGUGUCAUGUAGCGGUGAAAUGCUUAGAUAUGACACAGAACACCGAUCGCGAAGGCAGCUUACCAAGCAAUAACUGACGCUCAUGCACGAAAGCGUGGGGAUCAAACAGGAUUAGAUACCCCUGUAGUC
rnacentral:rRNA from 1 species